rnacentral:rRNA from 1 species
AUUCGGCUUAGAGUUUGAUCUGGCUCAGGAUGAACGCUGGCGGCGUGCCUAAUACAUGCAAGUCGAACGAAACUUCUUUAUCACCGAGUGCUUGCACUCACCGAUGAAGAGUUGAGUGGCGAACGGGUGAGUAACACGUGGGCAACCUGCCCAAAAGAGGGGGAUAACACUUGGAAACAGGUGCUAAUACCGCAUAACCAUAGUUACCGCAUGGUAACUAUGUAAAAGGUGGCUAUGCUACCGCUUUUGGAUGGGCCCGCGGCGCAUUAGCUAGUUGGUGAGGUAAAGGCUUACCAAGGCAAUGAUGCGUAGCCGAACUGAGAGGUUGAUCGGCCACAUUGGGACUGAGACACGGCCCAAACUCCUACGGGAGGCAGCAGUAGGGAAUCUCCCACAAUGGGCGAAAGCCUGAUGGAGCAACGCCGCGUGGGUGAAGAAGGUCUUCGGAUCGUAAAACCCUGUUGUUAGAGAAGAAAGUGCGUGAGAGUAACUGUUCACGUUUCGACGGUAUCUAACCAGAAAGCCACGGCUAACUACGUGCCAGCAGCCGCGGUAAUACGUAGGUGGCAAGCGUUAUCCGGAUUUAUUGGGCGUAAAGGGAACGCAGGCGGUCUUUUAAGUCUGAUGUGAAAGCCUUCGGCUUAACCGGAGUAGUGCAUUGGAAACUGGGAGACUUGAGUGCAGAAGAGGAGAGUGGAACUCCAUGUGUAGCGGUGAAAUGCGUAGAUAUAUGGAAGAACACCAGUGGCGAAAGCGGCUCUCUGGUCUGUAACUGACGCUGAGGUUCGAAAGCGUGGGGAGCAAACAGGA